rnacentral:lncRNA from 1 species
GGUUGACAACAUGCUUUAACUCAGAUUUGGUAUUAUAUUCUAGGAAUUAAGAUUCAAAGUUUAGCUAGCGCCAUAUUUGUCCAGAAGUUUUAGGAAGGAAUGAUGUAGCUUACUUUGUUCAUAUACUUUUCCACCACCGAGGGAAGGUCGGACCGGGNNNNNNNNNNNNNNNNNNNNNNNNNNNNNNNNNNNNNNNNNNNNNNNNNNNNNNNNNNNNNNNNNNNNNNNNNNNNNNNNCUGUUAGGAACACCGACGAGUACCGCAACACCCCAUCCCUGCACAAAAACCAAAAACAUGGCCAAAUGUGUCGAACAUCACAAUUUCUGUUAUUUGCUUCGUUCUACUUCCUAGGUUCUAUCAAGUUUAGGCAAAUGCAUGAAGAAAGGGAAUUACAUCGUGAACACAUUCAAAUGCAGAGAUCAUGGCAUUAAUGUUUCCAGUACACUCGACGCUUCGAUCAACUCCCCCAUCUGUCAUUUCAGCGAGCACCUGAAAAUAAGGGAGUAAAAUUUUGAGAAUGAAGGGUUGUCUUCAUUUAGUUUUACCUUGAAACCAAUAGUUAGGGUUUUCACAAACCUCUUGAACCGGCUUGUUAUGGUCUUUCGGGUUGACGAAUUCAGUGCAACCAAAUUUCUUAGCUGUUUAAGAUACACCAAGGAAACUGAACAUUAGACGAAGCAUUUUAAAGACAAUAAAUCAAAAAAUUCCCUUCUGGGGUUUUUAACUUACCUUCCUCAAAUCUGUUAGGAUUCAGAUCAACCCCAAUAAUCCUAGAAGCGCCUGCAAUUCUAGCCCCUUCAGCAGCCUAAUUAUAAACACCACAUCAACAAUGUUAUCCAAGUUAGCAGCAGCAGGGGCGAGGAAAAAAGUUACGAAACUUAUUAUGUUCCCACGCAUUAUUAUUUUUCUUGAAAUAUCUAUGUCCAAGAAUGGCAUUGGACACAUGAAGCUAAGAAUAUAGCCUCCAAAAUUUCCUCCAUAUACAUUUUUAAAAAAGUAACUUCGAGAAAACUGAUCAUAACCAUGUGGAACACAUCCCAUAUACGAUACUCUGCUCAAUUGUAUGGAAGAAGGGAUACUCACAGCGAGGCCUACUGCUCCCAGUCCAAAAAUGGCCACAGUUGAACCUUUGGUGGGCUUUGCAACAUUCAAGGUGGCACCAAGACCUCGAAAAUGAUUUAAAACUCCAUUAAACUAACAGAUUAGAUGGAAAAUGAAAAUUUUAAAUCAAGUAACAAAUUGGUUCUUUUUUAAGACCUGUAGAGAUGCCACAGCUGAGAAUACAAACUUUGUCAAGAGGAGCGGCGGGAUUGAUUUUGGCAACACUGCCAACAUGAGCAACAGUGUAUUCACUGAAGGUGGAUGUGCCAACGAAAUGAUAGAUGGGUUUUCCAUUAAUGGAGAACCUGGUCUUGCCAUCACUAAGCAUCACCCCUCGGUCAGUGUUGAUCCUUAGCAGGUCACACAUGUUGCUUUCCUUGGACUUGCAAUGACGACAGUUGCCGCAUUCCCCGGUGAAGACCGGAAGCACAUGGUCACCGGGUUUAAGGUGUGUCACACCCUCACCCACACUGUCAACAAUCCUGCAAACAAAAUAGUCAAUAGAGUGAUAAAAAUAUCUGGUUACCACACUAAAUGGAUACAGACACGCCCAUUAAUACCUAGGUUCAACAGAUCCGACCAAUCUGACAUAGAUCCCAUGCAGAUGCUGUUCAAAAUAAAAAAUAUGCCUUGCUGAAUUUAUAUGGAAAUGGAUCGGAUAAGAGUUUGACUGUUGGACUCAUUGAUGAUAGAGGUACUUAAAAUGAAAAAAGGAAAAAAAAUUUAGUGUUGAGCAUACCCCCCAGCUUCAUGACCAAAUAUACGAGGGAAUAAUGGAGUUUGGCCCUGUAAGAUGACAAUGAUGAACAAUAUUAGUUUCCAAGUAUGCGAGUAAUGAGUAUUGCUUUACAACGAGAAUGCAUCAUGAGGAGGCACUUAACUAAAAUACCUUGGCUUCCCAAAAGUAAACAUCAGUGUGGCAGAGAGAGGUGAAGAGGAUCUUCAGACGGACCUCCAUUGCUUGUGGUGGUGCCACCUCCACUUCUUCAAUCACUAGUGGCUUCCCGGCUUCCCAUGCCACCGCAGCUACAUGCAGUUGCAAUGUAUUUCAAAGAAUAAGCAUAUACAAUGACAAAUGGUUUUCCUCAAAAACGAAGCAUCAAAGUAUGAUGAUAAAACCCUAAACACUCAAGUAAAAAUCCAGAAUGAAAAUAGACCUUUGCAACGAAUGACCUGACCAGCAGUGCUUUGGGCAGACAUAUUGACUUGGCAAACUAUCCGUUUUCUCCUUUUGGAAACCUGGAAAAAUAUUCUAGUAAAUUGGGGUUUAGGAGCUUGGCAUCUCUUAAAGUAAGAAUCGAGGGGACUGAUAUUUUUACACGUCAAAGAAGCCUGUUUUGACAGGGCAUUUGUAAGAGACAUAUACAUUGAAUUCAUGAACUAGAAGCAAGAAUUCACCCAAGGAAAACGCUGUUCUUCUUUUGAUCCGCAAAGCAAACGACGCCUAAAAUUUAUUUGUUUUCCCGAACAUGGGUUCGUGAAUAUAGUAUUUUAGUAGAUUAAUUCGACGGGUUGAGGCAAGUGUGCAACUUUACAUUUAGCUAAAAGUGAUCAGACGCUUGUUUCGAAAUAUCUGCCUUCUACCAUUUUCGGCCGGACACGUGGUGGUCCUCCGUACCCCUGUCGACUGAGUCCCUGUCAUGCCUGACCAUACUCAGAACUUACAAUAUGGACUUUUUCAACCAUGCGCUCUAUAAAAUUUUAAGCAUAUCAAUUGUUUUAUCAAAUUAUAUUUUUAAGUAUAUAUAUUUGAUUUUGGUUUAAUUGAUAUUCUUAUUUGUAUAUAUAAUAUAUCAAUAUAAAAAAUUUCAACUCAUAUAUAAGAAUCAAAAUUAUCAAAAUUUACAUAUAAAAAAUACUUGUAUAUCCCGUCCCAAAAUAGGUUAGGAGUUAGACUUAUUAAACUUGAAAAAUAUAUUUUAAAUCUUUAUCAAUUGAUUAAUUGAAGAGAAAUGGAAUUGUAGUUUGAUGAUUCAUCAAGGCAAAGGAACAGAAGCGUGGUGGUACUGUCUCAUAUAGUAUACAGAGCAUGAAAAAGGGAAACAACAUUAAGAUAUGUAUGAUCGAUGGCGAUUACAAAUGAAGUUUGAUAGGUUUCAAGUAUCCAUGCGAAUAAGACAGCGGAUGCCCUCCCCAGCAAGCAUGUAAUCGAAAGCCUUGUUUAUAUCUGAGAAUGCCACUUCAUGCGUUAUAAAUUUCUCCAGCUCAAGCUCCUGCAUGUAUCACAUUACUCUUUCUGAGUUCAUAACAAAUUACAGAAAUGAAUGUUCUAAGCAGCCAUCCAAUUGCUUGCUAGGAAGGAAUGAUGUAGCUUACUUUGUUCAUGUACUUCUCCACAACUGAAGGAAGGUCGGACCGGGGCUUGUAGUUGCCAAAGAAGGUACCUUUCAGAGUCCUCUCGUUCAGAAAAUUCACGGGAUGUGUUUUAAAAGCAUCAUCUUUGUUCGGAACACCGACGAG